rnacentral:tRNA from 1 species
AGCUCAAUUGGAUAGAGCAUCAGACUUCGGAUCUGAGGGUUGCAGGUUCAACUCCUGCC